AUUAGUAUAUUUCUAUUUGUGUUGUCAUUAACACCAAAACAAAAUAGGGGUCCUAGAUGCACUUUCAAUCUCCCUAUUUUUGGUGAUUGAUAACAACACAAUUAGAAACGACAAUG
rnacentral:misc_RNA from 1 species